rnacentral:tRNA from 1 species
GAGGGUAUAGCUCAGUGGUAGAGUCCGUGCUUAGCAUGCAUGAGGUCCUGGGUUCAAUCCCCAGUACUUCCU